UGGGGAAUAUUGCACAAUGGGCGAAAGCCUGAUGCAGCAACGCCGCGUGAGUGAUGAAGGCCUUCGGGUUGUAAAGCUCUGUCUUUUGGGACGAUAAUGACGGUACCAAAGGAGGAAGCCACGGCUAACUACGUGCCAGCAGCCGCGGUAAUACGUAGGUGGCAAGCGUUGUCCGGAUUUACUGGGCGUAAAGGAUGCGUAGGCGGAUUUUUAAGUGAGAUGUGAAAAACCCUAAGCUUAACUUGGGGACUGCAUUUCAUACUGGAAAUCUAGAGUGCGGGAGAGGAGAAUGGAAUUCCUAGUGUAGCGGUGAAAAUGCGUAGAGAUUAGGAAGAACACCAGUGGCGAAAGGCGAUUCUCUGGACCGUAACUGACGCUGAGGCAUGAAAGCGUGGGUAGCAAACAGGAUUAGAUACCCUGGUAGUCCACGCCGUAAACGAUGAGUACUAGGUGUAGGAGGUAUCGACCCCUUCUGUGCCGCAGUUAACACAAUAAGUACUCCGCCUGGGAAGUACGAUCGCAAGAUUAAAAACUUAAAUGAAUUGAC
rnacentral:rRNA from 1 species